AAUUUUGUUGCUAGCUGGAGUAACAUAUUUUAAGUAGUAUACUUUAUAAAUGUUUGUGAAGUGGCAAAAUUAUUGACAAGUAACAUCUUACAGGAAUUAGCAAAUUGAUCAAAAGUAACACCUCAUUUUGCAGAAAAGCUUCAAAGGAUCUUGAUUUUGAAAACCCUGGAAAAAUAUAGGGAAGCUUUUUGAUAGCCAUCUUUACUGUCUGAAAUCUACAUUUUCAAAUUCUUGCCUUCAGAUAUGCCUACCUUUUUGCUAAGGUUGAAAAGAGUACUGAAGAGUAUAAGAAGAUAAUACGAUAAGAUAAUAUUAAUAUUAUAAGGUUGAUAAGUAUGGUUAUGGCAAAAGAAGAAAAAUCAUCCUUGAAUCUUAAAGAAUUGAGCUUCCAGUUCAUGCGUUACGUAAACUGUUAAAGCUACGCAAAAAUAUUGUAGGUAUUACAGAAUUGUCAUCUUUCUGGGCCUAUACGGUCGCACAACUCCAAAAAAGUUCAUAGUUUCCUUUCAUUUUUUGUAAUCGUUUCUUGAAGUAUGGCAAAUGGAAAAAAUAAUACGGUAGAGUUGAGUAGUUUAUGUAUCCAUUUUGAA